CAAAAUGGGAGGUAAAUUUCUCCUAAGGCUAAAUAUCGGCGAGAGACCGAUAGCGAACAAGUACCGUGAGGGAAAGAUGAAAAGAACUUUGAAAAGAGAGUAAAAUAGUACGUGAAAUUGUUGAAAGGGAAACGAUUGAAGUCAGUCGUACCGACGAGAAAUCAACUUAUCGUGUGCGAACUUGUGGGCGUGCGUGAGUUUCGGCCUCGCUGUUUGCAUGUUUGUGCAUUUUGGGUGUACUUUUUCGUAUGGUAGGCCAACGUCAGUUUCGAUCAUCAUAAAAUGACUGGCGGAAUGUAGCUUCGAUUUCGGUUGAAGUGUUAUAGCCUCUGGUAGAUGUGGUGAUUGAGACUGAGGAUUGCAACGAAUAUCCUUUGGGCUAUCCGUCUGAUCUCUGAAAGUUGCUUAGGUGCCGAAAGCGUGCUUACGGUCAUCUAAGUUGACGGUCAACAGGUUAGAACGUGAUUACA
rnacentral:rRNA from 1 species